AAGCCUGAUCCAGCAAUGCCGCGUGAGUGAAGAAGGCCUUCGGGUUGUAAAGCUCUUUUGUCAGGGAAGAAACGGUGAGAGCUAAUAUCUCUUGCUAAUGACGGUACCUGAAGAAUAAGCACCGGCUAACUACGUGCCAGCAGCCGCGGUAAUACGUAGGGUGCAAGCGUUAAUCGGAAUUACUGGGCGUAAAGCGUGCGCAGGCGGUUUUGUAAGUCUGAUGUGAAAUCCCCGGGCUCAACCUGGGAAUUGCAUUGGAGACUGCAAGGCUAGAAUCUGGCAGAGGGGGGUAGAAUUCCACGUGUAGCAGUGAAAUGCGUAGAUAUGUGGAGGAACACCGAUGGCGAAGGCAGCCCCCUGGGUCAAGAUUGACGCUCAUGCACGAAAGCGUGGGGAGCAAACAGGAUUAGAUACCCUGGUAGUCCACGCCCUAAACGAUGUCUACUAGUUGUCGGGUCUUAAUUGACUUGGUAACGCAGCUAACGCGUGAAGUAGACCGCC
rnacentral:rRNA from 1 species